rnacentral:ncRNA from 1 species
UCAUGAAAAAGGCAAACCUGUCGGAAGGCAGGGACGCAAAAUCACGGGUCUUGCAAGUGAAGAAAAAACAAGACAGCCGGAUUGCCAUG